rnacentral:misc_RNA from 1 species
UACGGAGGGGGCUAGCGUUGUUCGGAAUUACUGGGCGUAAAGCGCACGUAGGCGGAUCUGUAAGUUAGGGGUGAAAGCCCGAGGCUCAACCUCGGAAUUGCCUCUGAUACUGCAGGUCUCGAGUCCGGAAGAGGUGAGUGGAAUUCCUAGUGUAGAGGUGAAAUUCGUAGAUAUUAGGAAGAACACCAGUGGCGAAGGCGGCUCACUGGUCCGGUACUGACGCUGAGGUGCGAAAGCGUGGGGAGCAAACAGG